rnacentral:rRNA from 1 species
AUGAUGAAUCGUCAGUUUGCGAAUAUGAUAGUACACAAUUACCCCAAGGGAGUUUAUUCCCUGCGCCGGAUCAACCUCAUGGAGUAUCUCUUCUACCCUUCAACAGAAGCUGCCGAAAAGGCAGAAGUGAAUAAGAAGGGAUGGUUAUCCACCAUGUUGAAAGGGAGCCCCAAGCAGAGUCUGCCCAAGACGAACAUCAACUUCUCAUCACUGCCUAACAUGGCCGACUUAACUACCAGGCAUUUCUUCUCCCUGCUGAGAGGGCAGGGGGAGGGCUCUGUCAUGUUUGUCAGCCCUAACGUCCACACGAUGAUGUACGACACUAGCACGGACUUCGUCUUUGGCAUGCCACAAGCCAACUUCUGUAAGCAGAGUGACUCAAUCGCCCUGUCCAUCACUCGGCGGAGCUAUGGCCAGGACAACCACAAGCUCUAUGUCAUAGGAAAAGGAGAGGACAAUGCCUUGUUCGAGGUCUUGAACUAUACCAGGACAACUGAUCUGAACAACUCGUCUUGGUACUGGCGACCUCUACCCUGCCCGCCACUGUUUCGGCCGUGCCUGCCUGGCAGCAACAGCAAAGUUUGUCCUCCCUCUGCAGCCGCUGUGUUGGAUGCCGCCACAAUAUGUGUCUCAUCUGUGGAUGCUGGAGCCUGCGCCUUCUUUGACACGGCAACGCGCGAGUGGAGGCAGGCUGGCAGCUGGGUGCUGCCCAUCCACGGUGCGGCGGAGUAUGUCCCUGAGUUUGACCUCUGGUUUGGCCUCGACGAUGUCAUUGGCAACCCCAACCAUUGCCUGCGUGCUUUUGACUUCGAUUCCUCCAGGCGACCGGUGGUGCGGCACUCCUGGAACUAUCUCAGCGUCCUGCCCGAUGAGUGGUUGCCGCGGCAGAGGCACCUGCUAAACAUGGGCUCAGGCAAGUUCUGCAUCGCCACCAGCUUUCGAAAUCUCUUGAGGCACACCUCGUGCAGACCACUUCAUGGUGCAGUCAAUGAGCUUACUGUCUUGACCGGCGUGGAGGUGGUGCGCAAUGUCAAUGGUUUCCAGAUCAUCAAGCACAAGUCUGAAUGUUACAGCUUGGAGGACAAUAGAAUCCACUGUGUGCUCUGA